CUGCCUAGACUUUAUUUGCAGUAAUGUAAAUAUCAUUUUUAUCUCCAAAUAUGAUCAUAUAGAGAAAUUUAAAAAAACCUGCUUUAUACCUUAAUCAUGGUCUCAUAGUCUUGGAAAGAUAUGAAAAGCUUUAAUUUUUUGGAAUGGGGAUAUUUUGGUCCGUUCGUCAUUGCAUUACUUUUAUUUCUCCUUAUCGGAACAAUGUUUCAGCAAAGAGUUGAAGUAUUUAUUCAACGCAGAAUAGAACGUAGAAGACUGUUAUGUCAAGUAAAUACUGGAGCUCUCACUGAUUUUUCAACAAACACUCCGGAGACGUGCGCGGUGUCUGCGUAAUAACAUUGUAAAAUUUACGGUAAUAAAUUAUAUUCAU